GAUUGAACGCUGGCGGCAUGCCUUACACAUGCAAGUCGAACGGUAACGCGGGGCAACCUGGCGACGAGUGGCGAACGGGUGAGUAAUAUAUCGGAACGUGCCCAGUAGUGGGGGAUAGCCCGGCGAAAGCCGGAUUAAUACCGCAUACGACCUACGGGUGAAAGCGGGGGAUCGCAAGACCUCGCGCUAUUGGAGCGGCCGAUAUCAGAUUAGCUAGUUGGUAGGGUAACGGCUUACCAAGGCGACGAUCCGUAACCGGCCUGAGAGGGCGGUCGGUCACACUGACACUGACAUACGGGUCAGACUCCUACGGGAGGCAGCAGUCGGGAAUUUUGGGCAAUGGGCGAAGGCCUGACCCAGCAACGCCGCGUGAAGGAUGAAAUCCCUCGGGAUGUAAACUUCGCAAGAAUGGGAAGAAUUAGCGAACGCUAACACCGUUCGUGAUGACGGUACCAUUUGUAAGCUCCGGCUAACUCCGUGCCAGCAGCCGCGGUAAUACGGGGGGAGCAAGCGUUGUUCGGAUUUACUGGGCGUAAAGGGCGCGUAGGCGGCCAGCGCAAGUCAGUUGUGAAAUCUCCGGGCUUAACUCGGAAAGGUCAACUGAUACUGCGCGGCUAGAGUGCAGAAGGGGCAACUGGAAUUCUCGGUGUAGCGGUGAAAUGCGUAGAUAUCGAGAGGAACACCUGCGGCGAAGGCGGGUUGCUGGGCUGACACUGACGCUGAGGCGCGAAAGCCAGGGGAGCGAACGGGAUUAGAUACCCCGGUAGUCCUGGCCUUAAACGAUGGAUGCUUGGUGUCUGGAGUUUUAUAGUCUCCGGGUGCCGUAGCUAACGCGUUAAGCAUCCCGCCUGGGGAGUACGGUCGCAAGACUGAAACUCAAAGGAAUUGACGGGGACCCGCACAAGCGGUGGAGCAUGUGGUUCAAUUCGACGCAACGCGAAGAACCUUACCUGGGCUAGAAUGCCUCUGACAACUCCAGAGAUGGAGCUUUCUAGGGAAACCUAGACGGAGUGCAAGGUGCUGCAUGGCUGUCGUCAGCUCGUGUCGUGAGAUGUUGGGUUAAGUCCCGCAACGAGCGCAACCCUCGCCUUUAGUUGCCGCGCAAGCGGAUCUCUAGAGGGACUGCCGGUGUUAAACCGGAGGAAGGUGGGGAUGACGUCAAGUCCUCAUGGCCUUUAUGACCAGGGCUACACACGUGCUACAAUGGCCGGUACAAAGCGUUGCCAACUCGCGAGAGGGAGCUAAUCGCAUAAAACCGGUCUCAGUUCAGAUUGGAGUCUGCAACUCGACUCCAUGAAGGCGGAAUCGCUAGUAAUCGCAGAUCAGCACGCUGCGGUGAAUACGUUCCCGG
rnacentral:rRNA from 1 species